AAGUCGUAACAAGGUUUCCGUAGGUGAACCUGCGGAAGGAUCAUUACAGAGAAUAUCGCCCUUACGGGUGACUCUCCAACCCUAUGUUAUUAUACCUUUGUUGCUUUGGCGGGCCGCCUUGGCCACCGGCUCACGCUGGUGAGUGCCCGCCAGAGGACCCCAAACUCUGAAUGUUUAUGUCGUCUGAGUACUAUAUAAUAGUUAAAACUUUCAACAACGGAUCUCUUGGUUCUG
rnacentral:misc_RNA from 1 species